rnacentral:tRNA from 1 species
CUGUCGCCAAGCGGUAAGGCAUCAGACUUUGACUCUGACAUGCGUUGGUUCGAAUCCAGCCAGC